rnacentral:rRNA from 1 species
AGUGAACGCUGGCGGCGUGCUUAACACAUGCAAGUCGAACGAGAACGGAUUAUAGCUUGCUAUAAUUGUCAGCUAAGUGGCGCACGGGUGAGUAAUGUAUAGGUAAUAUGCCUCUUACUAAGGGAUAACAAAUGGAAACGUUUGCUAAUAUCUUAUACUCCUUAUUAACAGAAGUUAAUAAGGGAAAGAUUUAUUGGUAAGGGAUUAGCCUGUAUUGUAUCAGUUAGUUGGUGGGGUAAUGGCUUACCAAGACUAUGACACAUAACUGGUUUGAGAGGAUGAUCAGUCACACUGGAACUGAGACACGGUCCAGACUCCUACGGGAGGCAGCAGUGGGGAAUAUUGCACAAUGGACGAAAGUCUGAUGCAGCAACGCCGCGUGGAGGAUGACACAUUUCGGUGCGUAAACUCCUUUUAUAUGAGAAGAUAAUGACGGUAUUAUAUGAAUAAGCACCGGCUAACUCCGUGCCAGCAGCCGCGGUAAGAC